rnacentral:rRNA from 1 species
GACGAACGCUGGCGGCGUGCUUAACACAUGCAAGUCGAACGGGGUGUUAUUUCGGUAAACACCAAGUGGCGAACGGGUGAGUAACGCGUAAGCAAUCUACCUUCAAGAUGGGCUCGCGUCUGAUUAGAUAGUUGGUGGGGUAACGGCCCACCAAGUCGACGAUCAGUAGCCGGACUGAGAGGUUGAACGGCCACAUUGGGACUGAGAUACGGCCCAGACUCCUACGGGAGGCAGCAGUGGGGAAUCUUCCGCAAUGGGCGAAAGCCUGACGGAGCAACGCCGCGUGAGUGAUGACGGCCUUCGGGUUGUAAAACUCUGUGAUCCGGGACGAAAAGGCAGAGUGCGAAGAACAAACUGCAUUGACGGUACCGGAAAAGCAAGCCACGGCUAACUACGUG